rnacentral:rRNA from 1 species
UACGUAGGUGGCAAGCGUUGUCCGGAAUUAUUGGGCGUAAAGCGCGCGCAGGCGGUCCUUUAAGUCUGAUGUGAAAGCCCACGGCUCAACCGUGGAGGGUCAUUGGAAACUGGGGGACUUGAGUACAGAAGAGAAGAGUGGAAUUCCACGUGUAGCGGUGAAAUGCGUAGAGAUGUGGAGGAACACCAGUGGCGAAGGCGAGUCUCUGGACAUUUCCUGACGCUGAGGCACGAAAGCCAGGGGAGCAAACGGG